rnacentral:rRNA from 1 species
AUGGCUCGGAACGGGGCCGCUGCCGUUGGCCACGGCGAAGGCCUCCAACUACGGGAGACUUGGUCCAGGUGCGUCACGGAGGGCGCGACACAUGAUUUCAAGGUGACCAACUACCCUCUGCUUGAGGGCAUGGGCACGUACAUCACCUCCCGCACGUUCAGGGUCGGCGGCUACGAUUGGAAUAUCAGGUUCUACCCGGACGGACACACCAAGGACUCUGAAAAAGCGUUAGCAUUCUUGUUUUGUCUCAGCUCAUUGACGAAGGAUGUGAGGGCAAAGCUCACCAUAACCUUGCUGGACAAGGGAGGAAUAAGGUGCGUUCUCACCGUGAUCAUAGAACCACCCCCGGAGGAGUGCCCAAGGAAUCUCGUCGUGGUUCCUCCGCCGGAGCGGUCCGGCCGCCUCGAGCGCACCCUUAAAGACGGGAAGGGCACCGACGUCACGUUCCUCGUGGGUGGCAGGGAGUUCAGCGCGCAUACGUUCAUGCUUGCUGCGCAAUCGCCGAUUUUCGAUGCUCAGUUCUUUGGCCCGAUGGCGGAUAAGGACACGCAGUGCAUAGAGGUUCCCGACAUGGAGCCGGCCAUCUUCGAGAUGCUUCUUCACUUCAUCUACGACUCGCUGCCCCCAUGUAACGAGAAAGGUUACGAUGCUGCUACCAUGCAGCACUUGCUAGUCGCAGCACACCGGUAUAGGCUGGACAGGCUUAAGGUGAUGUGUGAGGAGAAGCUAUCCAAAAGCAUCAACGUGCAGACCGGGCUCAAAGAUGCUUGUGUGGAGUUUCUUUCUGCGCGGGGAAUAGCGGGAAUUGUCUUGUUAAGAAACGGGUUCACACGCUACAUGGCAAAGCUUGAAUCGGGGGACAAGGAGGUAUCUGCCGCCGGGACGAAGUAA